CGCUCAGGUGGCCUAUUGGUUAAAAUAUCCGCCUCAAAUGCGUGAGCUCGUGGGUUCGAACCCCGUUCGAGUCA